AUCGCUUCUCGGCCUUUUGGCUAAGAUCAAGUGUAGUAUCAAGUGAAAAGGUAUAUGAAGGCAGGAGGCUCCUUCAGACUGGAUGAGUCUCAGCAUAUCUUCCUUAAUCAGCUGAGAACAAUAAUCAUGACUUUACAGGGUUUUAUUCUCCAGGAGCCCUUUCCAUUUUUUUGCCUCCUUUGACCUGAU
ensembl:snRNA U2 U2 spliceosomal RNA